rfam:Puccinia triticina 1-1 BBBD Race 1 supercont2.12, whole genome shotgun sequence.
GCGCACUUAGCUUAGUUGGUAAAAAGCAUCACUCAUGAAAUUUGAUGACAUGGGUUUGGAUCCCAUAGUGCACA